rnacentral:lncRNA from 1 species
GAUUGAGCAAUGUGAAGUGUAUAAAUUCAUCAUUCUACGGAAUGGUGAACAAGGACACACGCAUUGUUUUUCCAGCUCUCGAGAAGUUCACAUUGUAUUUCAAUGCCUAAGCUGGCAGAGUGGGCAGAAAUAGAAAUUUCGGAUGGAAGUGAAGUGAAGCUAUUUCCUCGCCUCCAACAUUUGAGAAUUCAUGAUUGUGAGCAAUUGAUGAGUGUUCCAAGUCAUGUCUCGUCAUGCCUUGAAGAAUUGAUAAUUUGUGAGAUCGGUGUGGAAUGUCUGCCAGCUGAUUGGUUAUUGAGUAACAAUCGGACUCUCUCUUCUUUGUGGAUAUGGAAAUGCCCGAAUUUGAGAGAAAUAUCAGAUAGGUGGGGAGAAGAAGAAUCAGAAGGAAGAAGCUUCACAAUCACAUCCCUCCCUAUAUUCCCUCGUCUAACAUUUUUGAGAAUCAAAGACGUUCCUAAGUUAAGUUUGGAGACUGUGGAUGGCAUAUUGCAAGGAUGCUGCCACUCACUUAAUGAGUUAUAUUUGAAGGGGAUGGAAAGUUGGGAAUGGCUGCCGGAAUCAAUUCAACAUCUUACAUCUCUUUCUGAGUUAUCCUUAAAGGAUUUUGGAAUGGAAGAGUUACCUGAAUGGUUAGGGAAUCUCUCAUCUCUAAAGUAAUUGAAUUUAGAUAACUGCAAAAGGCUAAGGCGUCUACCAUCUAUGGAUGCAAUGCGGCGCCUCACAACAUUAAAAGUACUAGAUAUUAGUGGUUGCCCAGAAUUAGUGAUUAAAAGUGAGGCAGCUGAUUCUGAAUGGCCCAAGCUUUCCCAUAUCCCCCGCAUCAAAAUUGAUGGUGCCAUAUACGGUGACGGUGAGUAUCAAUAUCUUUUCUAGAAACAGUUGUAUGUGUAUUUUAUUUGAUUUUUUUUUCUUUCAAAUUAUCAGAAAUUGAAGUAGCCCUGCAAAAUCUACUAUCUUAUUCUAUGGAGUUUCUAAUUCAGUUGCUAUUAAUUUGGGGAUUGAGAUUUAUUUAUAUUUUUAUAUAUUUUUCUCUAAUUUCAACAAUGAAUGCUUUAGUUUAAUUUUGUGAUUAUUAAUUGGGCUUCAUUCCAUCUAAUUAGGGUUUAUAAUUAUUUUUAAUCAUUUAAUUUCUCUUUCAUUAGUUAAUAAUAGGUUGAAAAAUUCAAAAUUAUGGUAUAUAAUUUUAUAAAAAUUUAAUUUUUUUGAAAUAAAUAUUAAGAAUAAUUCAUAGUAUUAUAAUUUUAUUUUUAUAAAAAAUAUUAUUAAACUAAUAGAUAUAAGUAUGAGACAUAGUUACAUAUAUAAAAUUGUGGGACAAUUGAUCUCAUCCCUUAGUUUGUUGCUUAAACAAUAGGGGAUACAUUAUUUUGAGUUUGUUUACUAUAUUUUUACAGCGACUUAUCAUCUUAGCUUUUUUUUUCCAUUAAAUACUUCUUUUUCGUAUUGAUACAUAAUAAAGUGAAAGAAGCAAACAGUUGUGUUUGAGGUGCCUCCAAAGAAUUAGGAGGUGAAGGAAGCGAUCCAGUGAAGAAGGAAUAAGUGAGUAUCCAUUUUCUCCAUCAUGACUUGCUCAACCUCUUUUCAUAAUUUUUUUUGUAAUUUCAUAUAUAUUCUUUGUUUGAACUUUAAUUGAUAGGAUUAUUAUGUCUAGGGUUGAAGAAAAUGCAUGUUUCGAUACCAAUUUGUUUCACAAUUGAUAUGAUUCUCAAAGACUCAAACUUCAUUGAUCAUUAUAAGGAAUUAUUUUGAGUAGAUCACUUCUAUAUCUAUAGAAACAGUUGUGCCUAAACUAAGGAUUCACAUCACUAUUUAUGCCCAUACACACAAAAGUGGUAAGAAUUCACAACCAAGUUUAUGCAAAGGAGAUCAAAUCAUUUAGCUCGCUUGCCAUUUCCUAUUUUAUGUUAAUUUUAAUUUUCCUAAUUAUAAAAAGUUGUAGUGUUUACUAGCUCCAAGGUUGCAAAUGCGAAUUAGGAAAGCAAAACAAAACAAAACAAAAAUGAAACGAAAAAGCAAGACGUAUGCAAUGUUUGUUAAUCUCAUCUCAUGUUGGGCUUGGUUGAAUAAAUUCUGCUUUAUAAAUAAAUUAUGAUAAGAGAGUGAUUUUUAAUUCGAAUUCAAGUGAAAUAUCUUUUCAAUAAUCUAAAUUCAGAGGCGCUAACGAGCUUGCUCGUGGGGAAGAACGACGACUGUGUAGUUGUUGAGUCUGAAGAGAAGGAUGAUGACAAAAAUUCAGACAGCAUUGUUGAAGAUGAAGAUAGAGAAACAGAGGAUUCAGCAGCUGUGGAAGUUGAAUCCAGUCCCAGCAAAAAGGGAGGUAGCCAGCUUUUUCCAUUUCUUGAUGAAUGAAUGCCUAUUUCUAUGUUAAUAUUGAUGCUUUCUAGGUUGAAUUUGAUGAUUGAAUGGAAGAGUUACCUGAAUGGUGUGCAAGCCUCUCAUCUCUAGAGCACUUAUCUUUAUGUUACUGCAAAAGGCUAAGGCGUCUACCAUCUAUGGACGCAAU